GGCUCUGUAGUGAAGUUCAUAGUGAGUUGCAAGCUCGCUGAUGCGCACUGGUCGUGUGCCGGAGUCU
rnacentral:tRNA from 1 species